GUUGUAUGGUUAAGUGACUAAGCGUACAUGGUGGAUGCCUUGGCAGUCAGAGGCGAUGAAGGACGUACUAACCUGCGAUAAGCUGUGAGAAGUCGGUAAGAGACGCUAUUACUCACAGAUUUCCGAAUGGGGAAACCCACCCGAGAUAACUCGGGUAUCUGUUACUGAAUACAUAGGUAACAGAGGCGAACCGGGAGAACUGAAACAUCUAAGUACCCCGAGGAAAAGAAAUCAACCGAGAUUCCCUCAGUAGCGGCGAGCGAACGGGGAUUAGCCCUUAAGCAUCUUGGAAGUUAGUGGAACGGUCCUGGAAAGGCCGGCGAUACAGGGUGAUAGCCCCGUACACGAAAACAACCUUGAUGUGAAAUCGAGUAGGGCGGGACACGUGACAUCCUGUCUGAAUAUGGGGGGACCAUCCUCCAAGGCUAAAUACUCCUGACUGACCGAUAGUGAACCAGUACCGUGAGGGAAAGGCGAAAAGAACCCCUGUGAGGGGAGUGAAAUAGAACCUGAAACCGUGUACGUACAAGCAGUGGGAGCCCUUCGGGGUGACUGCGUACCUUUUGUAUAAUGGGUCAGCGACUUACAUUUUGUAGCGAGGUUAACCGUAUAGGGGAGCCGUAGGGAAACCGAGUCUUAACUGGGCGUCUAGUUGCAAGGUGUAGACCCGAAACCGGGUGAUCUAGCCAUGGGCAGGUUGAAGGUUGAGUAACAUCAACUGGAGGACCGAACCCACUAACGUUGCAAAGUUAGGGGAUGACCUGUGGCUGGGGGUGAAAGGCCAAUCAAACUCGGAGAUAGCUGGUUCUCCCCGAAAGCUAUUUAGGUAGCGCCUCGGACGAAUACUACUGGGGGUAGAGCACUGUUUGGGCUAGGGGGUCAUCCCGACUUACCAACCCCAUGCAAACUCCGAAUACCAGUAAGUAAUAUCCGGGAGACACACGGCGGGUGCUAACGUCCGUCGUGAAGAGGGAAACAACCCAGACCGCCGGCUAAGGUCCCAAAGUUCUGGUUAAGUGGGAAACGAUGUGGGAAGGCUCAGACAGCUAGGAUGUUGGCUUAGAAGCAGCCAUCAUUUAAAGAAAGCGUAAUAGCUCACUAGUCGAGUCGGCCUGCGCGGAAGAUGUAACGGGGCUCAAACCAGGCACCGAAGCCGCGGAUUCACACUUAUGUGUGAGUGGUAGGGGAGCGUUCUGUAAGUCUGCGAAGGUGUAUCGAGAGGUAUGCUGGAGAUAUCAGAAGUGCGAAUGCUGACGUAAGUAACGAUAAAGGGGGUGAAAAGCCUCCUCGCCGGAAGACCAAGGGUUCCUGUCCAACGUUAAUCGGGGCAGGGUGAGUCGACCCCUAAGGCGAGGCCGAAAGGCGUAGUCGAUGGGAAGCAGGUUAAUAUUCCUGCACGACUUGUAAUUGCGAUGGGGGGACGGAGAAGGCUAGGUGGGCCAGGCGACGGUUGUCCUGGUGAAAGUGCGUAGGUGGUGUUUCUAGGCAAAUCCGGAGACACAACACUGAGACACGAGACGAACACACCACGGUGUGGAAGCCAUUGAUGCCCUGCUUCCAGGAAAAGCCUCUAAGCUUCAGAUUACAAGUCAUCGUACCCCAAACCGACACAGGUGGUCGGGUAGAGAAUACCAAGGCGCUUGAGAGAACUCGGGUGAAGGAACUAGGCAAAAUAGAACCGUAACUUCGGGAGAAGGUUCGCUCUUGACAGUGAAGUCCCUUGCGGAUGGAGCAGUUGGGAGUCGCAGUGACCAGAUGGCUGGGACUGUUUAUCAAAAACACAGCACUCUGCAAACACGAAAGUGGACGUAUAGGGUGUGACACCUGCCCGGUGCCGGAAGGUUAAUUGAUGGGGUUAGCGCAAGCGAAGCUCUUGAUCGAAGCCCCGGUAAACGGCGGCUGUAACUAUAACGGUCCUAAGGUAGCGAAAUUCCUUGUCGGGUAAGUUCCGACCUGCACGAAUGGUGUACCCAUGGCCAUGCUGUCUCCACCCGAGACUCAGUGAAAUCGAAUUCGCCGUGAAGAUGCGGUGUACCCGCGGCUAGACGGAAAGACCCCGUGAACCUUUACUACAGCUUGGCACUGAACAUUGAACCUACAUGUGUAGGAUAGGUGGGAGGCUUUGAAGGCGUGACGCCAGUUGCGCUGGAGCCGUCCUUGAAAUACCACCCUUGUAUGUUUGAUGUUCUAACGCAGGGCCCUGAAUCGGGCUCGCGGACAGUGCCUGGUGGGUAGUUUGACUGGGGCGGUCUCCUCCCAAAGAGUAACGGAGGAGCACGAAGGUUGGCUAAUCCUGGUCGGACAUCAGGAGGUUAGUGCAAUGGCAUAAGCCAGCUUAACUGCGAGACGGACAGGUCGAGCAGGUACGAAAGUAGGUCAUAGUGAUCCGGUGGUUCUGAAUGGAAGGGCCAUCGCUCAACGGAUAAAAGGUACUCCGGGGAUAACAGGCUGAUACCGCCCAAGAGUUCAUAUCGACGGCGGUGUUUGGCACCUCGAUGUCGGCUCAUCACAUCCUGGGGCUGAAGUCGGUCCCAAGGGUAUGGCUGUUCGCCAUUUAAAGUGGUACGCGAGCUGGGUUCAGAACGUCGUGAGACAGUUCGGUCCCUAUCUGCCGUGGGCGUUGGAUGAUUGAAGGGAGUUGCUCCUAGUACGAGAGGACCGGAGUGAACGAACCUCUGGUGUUCGGGUUGUCACGCCAGUGGCACUGCCCGGUAGCUAAGUUCGGAAUCGAUAACCGCUGAAAGCAUCUAAGCGGGAAGCGAGCCCUGAGAUGAGUCAUCCCUGACCCCUUGAGGGUCCUAAAGGGCCGUUGGAGACCACAACGUUGAUAGGUGGGGUGUGUAAGCGCGGCGACGUGUUGAGCUAACCCAUACUAAUUACCCGUGAGGCUUAACCAUACAACACCCAAGAAGUGUUCU
rnacentral:rRNA from 1 species